UAAUUAAUUAAAAUAAUUAUGUCUUCCACCCAAACCGUAUAUAUCUUAUUCUUAUCAGAAAACCCUAAUCAAUAUAUUGAAACCCUAUUUUCUCAAUUAUGGCAUCUACCCAAACUAACGAAAAUCAAAAUCAAAAUCAAGAAUCAAACGUAAGUAUGAUCUAUCCUUUCAUCCAUUCAUUAGCUAGUGUAAUUCUCAGAGUAUUUCAUGGCAUCGUCAUUUUUUUUAUUUUAUAUUUUUUUGAGUUUUUUUAUUGAAUACAUGUUUUGAUUUGUUUUCUCGAUUAGAAAAUUAUUUGGUCAGACGAGAUGACCCGUUUCUUGUUAAAACUUUAUCAUAUGUAUAGAGGCAAUCCGGAAAACCCACGAGUUCAACAUUAUUUACAGUUUAUUACACUACUUGAUGCAAUUUUUGGUGAUGUACCAAAUGCAUAAAGUACUAAGCUUUUUCUUACAAAAUUUAUUUAUUUUUGAAUUUAAUGUUUUGUUUAUGGUUUUAAUUAUUAAGCAUGUUUAAUUUUCUAAUAUUAUCAAUUUAUCAUAAUAAUAUAUUGUAUUU
rnacentral:sRNA from 1 species